UAGUUAAAUCUGUUAGAGGAAGUGAGGGAGAACAAACCCAGGUUGCCGCACCUGAAGCCAGCUAACCCUCAGACAUGUAAGCAAGCACAGCUAAAAUCAGUAGAGCUGCCUAGCCAAACCCCAACUCAUCCCAGACACAUGAGCAAUAAACUUGUAUGCCCCUGAGGAUUUGUGGUUGAUACAGAGCAUUGUUGUGACAUUAGACAGUUAAUAUUGUGACAUACGAACACUGAAUUAACAAUUUUUGUGGCUGGGCAUUUCUAGGUUUUUUCUUUUUCUUUUUUCCCAUAAAAAUUUGUUUCAUUUCUCAUUAUUUUCUGAGAAUAUAUAUGUAAGGAUGAAUUUACUGUGUCAAAGAGCAUAUAAGAAUCUCAGUACAUAGAAAAAUCCUUUUUAGAAAGGUCGUACCUACCAUGUAAUGCAGUUUAUGAGAUUGCCUCUUUUACAGUCUUACUGUUCUUGAUGUUUGGUAUGUUUUCUCUUUUAAUGUUUUCUAGGCUCACUUUAGGUGAAGCCCAGUCUGUAGUGAUCUGUUAGAUGAACUUCUGUAGCAGUUACAAUCUGUUCUACGUGGUUAGUUUUAUAAACCUCCUGAGUUAUUAUCAUUAACAUUUUUAUAUGUAUGUCUUUCUCUCCAACUAGGCUAUAUAUUUCCUUAGGGCAGCACAAAUAUAGCACAAUGCAUAGGUCCUCAAGUAUGUAGUUAGUAGUACAAUCUGAUUUGAGCUACAAUUUUGAAAAAUGAGUGGUCUUUUUGGGUGGGUAUUGCUUUGCUUUAAAUAACUCUUUGAGAGUCCACUCAUGAAGCAAGAAGUCAAGCAGAUUUUUAAGGCUUUGGAGAGGUGGUAAAUAGAACUUAUAGAGAGAGUUGUCCAUAUUGGUCAAGACUUUAUUUUGUUUGUAGAAGCCAAAUGUGCAUCUAAUCCUAUACAUUGUUAAAUUUUAUGAGUAGUGCUGUGUCUGGAGUUGUUUCCUUCUGGUGGGUUCAUGGUCUCGCUGACUUCAAGAAUGGAGCCAUGGACCUUCACAGUGAGUGUUACGGCUCUUAAAGAUGGCACAGACCCAAAGAGUGAGCAAGAUUUAUUGUGAAGAGCAAAAGAAUAAACCUUCUACAGCCUGGAAGAGGACCUGAGUGGGUUCUGGCUGCUGGCUGAGAUGGCCAGCUUUUAUUCCCAUAUUUGUCCCCUCCUAUGUCCUGUUUCUGUCCUAUCAGAAUGCCCUUUUCUCAAUCCUCCUUGCGAUUGGUUACUUUUAGAAUCUUGCUGAUUGGUCCAUUUUCCAGAGUGCUGAUUGGUCCAUUUUACAGAGCGUUGAUUGGUGCAUUUUACAAACCUCUUGCUAGCUACAGAGCACUGACUGGUGCGUUUUACAAUCCUAGCUACAGAGCGCUGAUUGGUGCGUUUUACAAUCCUCUUGUAAGACAGAAAAGUUCUCCAAGUCCCCACUGGACCCAGGAAGUCCAGCUGGCUUCACCUCUCAGUGCUAAUUAGUCAACCACAGAAGUCUGAUAUUGUAGUAUUAGCACAGACUGUUCAGUUUUAACACACAGUAAAUUAUUUUCUUCCUCCAGAGAAUUUUAUUGUGUAUAAUGUCACAUAUGUUAUUUAUAAAUAAUCCUGUGGACAGACAACUACAAAUGACCUAUACAGAGAAGAAAAACUAUUGGGAGAUAUUCAAGAACUAGAAAAUAUGUCUGGUAGUUUUCCUGUGUUUAUGGAUUUGGACCAGAAUAAUGCUAAUGGGCUGACUACUCAACAAAGGACAAGAUAAAUCAGUGUACAUGUGGAUUCAAGAGUGUUCUAUACUAAGAGAGUGCUGUAGAAGUCCCCAUGGAAUGUUACUAGAUUCCUGGGAUGAUGAUACUGAAUAGUCUGGAAUGUGGCAUUCUUUGUCUCAAAGAGAGUCUUUAAAAAAAUCUGUGUUCUGAUGGUAGAGUUCCAAUUUUGGCAUUUUGCCUUCUGUGAUAAUAGAUAGACUUUGACUCUAGGUAAAUUUGUGGUGGAGCAAAAGUUCGUUUGGGGUUGUUCCACUUACCCCUUACUCUUUGCCCUCCCUAGUCAUGUUUGUCCUCUUUUCUUUCUUUAUAGGCAAUGGCCUGAUACUCAUAGUCAGGAAUAAAUAAAUAGUUAUGGUUUAAAAUAUUAUUCUUGAGAGUAUUUUCAUCUUUGUCUGGGAACAAACAUGCUUAUUUGUACUUGAGUUCUUGUCCUUCUACCAUCAUCACUGGAAAAACAUCUCUGGGUAGUCACUGCCUCCCCAAACUGGACUCAGGAUGGAACUUUUGAAGCAGUGUUACCUACCCCAAACAACUCAAACCCAUAAGUAUGAGAAUAAAUGAUUAUUUUAAGCCACUGAGUUUUGGGGGUGGUUUCUUAUGCAGCAUUAUUGGCAAUAGCUGACUGAUACUCUCUACAUCUUUAAAAUUCAUUUCACUGUGCAACUUCUGAUGGGUAAUGCUUGCUCUGAUUAUAGAAGUAGGGCAACCCUCUUUCCCCAAACACCUACUAGGGUUAAAGUUCAGAUGAUAGUAGAUGUACCCCUAUCGAUUCUUUUAAAGUAGCUUGACUUUUUCUGCUAGUGUUGUCUUGAGUGGGUUAGUUAAUCCCCAUACAUUAUUUCUACACAUUACAGGUUUUACUGGUUUUAAUAGUACUCUGGAAGGUGGCUUGAGGUGGAGGAGUGAUAUGGUUUGGGUCUGUGUCCCCACCCAAAUCUCAUGUUGAAUUGUAAUUCCUGAUGUUGGGGAAGGGACAUGGAGGGAGGUGAUUGGAUCAUGGGGGAAUGGUUUCCCCUAUGCUGUUCUUGUGAUAGUAAGUGAGUUCUCAUGAGAUCUGACGGUUUUAUAAGUGUUUGGCUCCUCCCCCACCCCAUUCUGCCACCAUGUAAAGAAGGUGCUUGCUUUCCCUUCGUCUUCUGCCAUGAUUGUAAAUUUCCUGAGGCCUUCCAGUCAUGCUUCCUGUUAAGCCUGUGAAACUAUGAGUCAAUUAAACUUCUUUUCUUCAUAAAUUACCCAGUCUCAGAUUUCUUUAUAGCAGUGUGAAAACGGACUAAUAUACAAGGAGGGAUUGGGGAGGCUAAGAAGACAUAACUCCAAGUGUUCUUAGUCUUACUUCAGGCUGGGCCGCCUCUUAUUUCAGAUAUUGGCUUGUGGCAGUGUCAGUUUCCUAGUUUUGAUCCUGUACUAUGUUAUGUGAGAUGUUACCAUUGGGGGAGGCUGGGUGAAGACUACAGUUGACCCUUGAACAACACGCAUUUGAACUGUGAGGAUUCACUUGUAGGUGGAUUUUUUUUCAAUAAAUAUAUUAGAAAAUAUUUUGAAGAUUUGCAACAAUUUGAAAAAACAGACAAACCAUGUAGCCUAGAAAUAUCAAAAAAUUAAGAAAAAUUAGAUAUGGCAUGAAUGCAUAAAAUGUAUGCUAGUCUAUUUUAUCAUUUACUGCCAUAAAAUAUACAAAAAUAUAUUAUAGAAAAUUAACAUUUAACAAAACUUAGGCACACAAACACAUACAUGGCGCCAUUCACCAUCGAGAAAUGUAAACAGAUCUAAAAUUGAUUUAUUAGUCAUAACUUCAUAAAAUUAACUGUAAUAAAACAGUACUAUUGUAAUAAUUUUGUGGCCACUUCCUGUUGCUAUUGUAGUGAGCUCAUGUUGGAAGUAUCCACUUAAAAUGCCAUGUGACCCUAAUCAUCUCGGCAUGAGCAGCUCAUUUCUCUGGUAAAUUGCUUAUCACAUUAAAAAGUGAUCUCUCUUGGUUCUUGCAUGUUUUUUAUUGUGUUCAGUGCAAUACUGUAAACUUUAAAUAACACCAUGGGACCCCUAUGAAAUGCCACUAGUAAUGCUGGAAGUGCUCCCAAGAAGCAGAGAAAAAUCAUGACAAGAAAAAGUUGAGUUGCUUAAUAUGUACUAUAGAUUGAGGUUUGCAGCUGUGUCCACUAUUUCAGACAGAUGAUUCACCUUGUAAACAGAUGAUGUAAACUUACAGUAUUGAUAAAUACAACACAGUACUGUAAAUGUAUUUUCUCCUCUUGAUUUUCUUAAUAACAUUUUCUUUUCUCUAGCUUACUUUAUUGUAAGAAUACAGUAUAUAAUAUAUAUAACAUACAAAAUAUGUGUUAAUUGACUAUGUUAUUGUGAAGACUUCCAGUCCACAGUAGGCUGUUAGUAGUUAAAUUUUGGGGGAUGAUACGUGGAUUUUCAAUGGUGUAGGUGGCGGGCAUCCCUAACCCCCAUGCUGUUGAAGGAUCAGUUGUACAUUAAAUUUUUUUUCUGUGCAUCUAUAAUUAUUUCAGAAUAAAGUUAAGAGUUAAAAGUAUUGCCAUAUUAUAUAAUGCUAAUAUAAGAGGAUUAUAUAUUAGCUAAUAUAUAUAAAUAUAUCUUAAAAAUGUAUUAUAUAUUUUUUCCUCUAAUAUUAGCUAGUAUUACAAUACUGUGCUUAUAUAAUGUUUACAAGGUGAAUAAUAUAUAUAUACUAGCUAAUAUAAGCUAAUGUUAGAGGAAAAGAGAUAAUUCUUCCUUUGUUACAUGAUUUAUUUAAAGAAACGAGUGAAUAUUGACAGUUUAUUGAGCAAUCUAUCCAUCACUGAUCUCUGAGGUGUUCUUUAGAGAAAAGUUAAUGUGACAGAAAGAGUGUGUGUAUGUUUAUUCAGUCCCAUCUAAUCUAAUUUAGAAGAGUUGCAUGAAAGGACCCAUUUGUUUUUUUUAGUUGUUAUUGUUAAUGUUAGCAAAAGGGAAGGAGAUGAUAUUAGAUAAAGAAAAAGAGAAAAGCAGAUCGUCUUUUAUGUGAGGUUAUUGUUAGGGAGGUGGCACGUAAGAGAGGACUGGCAAUUUUCAAUUUUGGCAAUCCAGAAUGACUUCUGUCUUAGAAAAUGAAAAGCAAUUUAUUUUCUUUAGGAGUGUUUAGCACUGUGAAUGUUCACAGAAACAUGUUUGUUUGCUGUCAGAUAUGUGGGAAUAAGCUGAAGCCCAUAAAAGUUGGAUGGAGACUUAGCAACUUGGGAAAUAAAAUAUUCUGACAGUUUCUAGCUUUGGACUUCAACCUAUUUCAGUGAUAGUAACAUCAAUGUCCUAUGCUUUUCCCCAUGGUUCUGUGAUUUGACAAUGUACAGUGUAAGCAAGAAUAAGAGAAAUACUUUUUCUUUUUUAAAAGAUAAUUUUAAAGGUUGUGAUAUGGCUUGUCUUAGUACUUCUUUUGGUAUUUCAAAAUACCUUAUGAUAAGAGACAAUCUAACAUGGGAAAUAGUGAAACCACCUUUGCAAAAUUAUAACUGAGGAAAUUAUGAUAAUGAAAGAAAUCAGAUAUAACCGAUUCCAUCUUGCUUCCAACCUUUAAGCUGUCCUUGUUCAUUCCUGGGCAUAGGCUGAACUAACCUUGGGAAGGAAUUCAGUUCAUGGUUUGACUCUGAAACAAAAUUGAUAAAAAUUUUGUUUCCCAAAAAGACCCCUUUCUCACCUGGGGGCCAGUCUGCCUUUGUAGGACUAACAAAUUAGUUACAAGAUUAGAAAUCACAGUUCAGGGGUCAUGCAACCCCUGGCUCCAAGAGUCUGAACCUCCCCAGAUUGCUCCUGGGGAGAACAUCACUACUGUAAAACCUAAGAUCAGUCCUUGAGAUAUUUUUCAGACUCUGUACUUACUGGGUCAGCUGAGACCAUCCAGACCGGUAAUCUGGCUCAACCAGUUCUGCCAUCUCACCCAGGAACAGAAGACAGCAAGAAAAACUGACUUCGACUCCCUAUGAUUCCAUCUCCAAUCUGACCAAUCAGCACUCCCCAAUUCCCAAGACCCUACCCGCCAAAUUAUCUUUAAAAACUCUGAUCCCAUAUGGGGAGACUGAUUUGAGUAAUAAUAAAACUCUGGUCUCCUGCACAGCUGCUCUGUGUGAAUUACUCUUUCUCCACUGCAAUUCCCCUGUCUUGAUAAAUUGGCUGUCUAGGCAGCGGGUUGAGGUGAACCCAUUGGGCAGUUAGAAUAGGUCUGAUAAUAUCUUCACGUAUUCUGGCACGCCGCACUAACUAAACUUUGGAAAGUUUAGCAGCAGAUCUAUGGAAACUUAUUUAAUUUUACCCCAGCAUAUGAAUAAAUUUAUCAAGAAGGAAGCGAAAUUGGUUAUGUCACUUUAUUUUAUAACUAUUUUGUCCACAUUUUCCUUUUUCUAAGGAAUGAAUAUUUACUUGAAAGGCCCACAGACAUUAUUUAGUUAUCUUUACCAUGCAUUUGUUUCUUUUAAUAUGGCACCAUGUGGAAGUGUAGUUUUGCUCAACUCAUACGUGUGUGAAAGAAAGCAUAGUGAAUAUGACUAAGUGCAUAGGCCCAGGAACCAGAUGACCUGGGUUUAAAUCCCAGCUCUUACUGUGACCCUCAGGCAAGUGCCUUCUUUUAACUCAGUUUCCUCAUCUGUAAAACAGGAAUUUCAUUGUUUAAAAUUGUGGGGUCCAAUUAUUCUGAGGUUAAUAGUAAAGCAGUAUUUUUCAGGUGCCCUGGCACAAAAGGGCUGGAAGUGCAAAAAGAAAGACAAAUGGGACUGGAGCAAUAAAAUGGAAGAUGAAGGGGUGAUAUCCAGAGAUCAGAAAUUGGAGAUGCCCCUGGGCUGGCUGCUGCACCAUUGGAGGCACUGUUAGAGUCAAGCUUGGAUCUGCUGAAGAGGUGUCACUCAGCCAAAGGGUGCUGCCUCUGCCCUAGCUGGUCAUCUGGAUUCACUUCAUUCACAUAGCAGCAAGAGUAUCUGCCACCAACUACCAUACAUUUGGAGUCAAGAGCCUUUCUCUUUUUUUUUUCAGCCUUCUCAGUUCCUUUCAGUGCCUAACAAGAGAAGCAAGAGAGCCUGGAAAUGUAGUUUGAUACCUCCCAGCCCUAGAUGUUCACAGUAUAGAAGGAGAGACUGUGACUUCUGUCUUGCUCGCCAUUUCUCAUUCUCUCUUUUUGGAGCUCUUGCUCUGGAGGAAGUGAGCUGCCAUGUUAUAAACUGCCCUAUGAAGAGGUCCAUGUGACAAGGAACUGAUGUCCCUGGCCAACAGCCAGUGAGGCCCUAAGGCCUGCAACACUCUGUGAGUGAGCCUGGAAAUGAAUCUUCUGAGCCUACCAACAACCACACUGAUCCUUAAAAUGGCUAUAGCUCCAGGUCCUUGAUUGCAGUCUUUCAAAAGACUGUGAUUCAGGGCAUUCAGGAAAGUCAUGUUUGAAUUUUUGACCCACGGAAACUUUGAGAUAAUAAGUGUUGUUUUAUUAUUUAUUUUUAAGCCACCAAAUCGGGGAGUAAUUUGUUACACAGAAAUAGAAAGUACAUCCAGGAAUGUGACUGUUGGGUUGUAGGAUGCAUAUGUAGGGGGAAAAUAACUCCCAUACGUUUGUAAUCGGAAAAGAUCCCCGUUACAAAAGACAGAUUAACAAGAGAAAAACAAGUUUAUUAACGUGUAUUUCAUAUGUACAAGGGAGAUAUCAAUGAUUAGUUCUCAAAGAAGUAGCUUUGAAUUCUAGCUUUUAUUUUAUUUUCAACAAAGAAGAGUAAAUUUUUAGAGAAGUGACAGCACAAAGGAAAAGGACUUGGAGUCUCUACAAGCAGCAACUUGUGGGGAAGGCAAACAAAUGGCAGAUAAAGGAUGGUAAAGGAGGUGGUGUUACAUUUCUGUACUGCUGGUGCAUUGAGAGACCCAAGCAAGUAUCAGGCUUUUCAUCCGUGGAACACAUGCUCCAGAACCUUCUAGCUGUUCACUUGUGAUGGAUACUCUGUUAGCCUUCACUAUUGAAUGCACUUUUAAAAAUGAUCAAAACCAACAUUUCCCACAGUAUGAAAUGUUUGCAAAAAAGGUAUGUUGGGUUUGUUAGGGCUAGAAAUUGUUAUUCUAAGUAAAGAAACCUGGAGAAUUUUCCUAAGCCAGCUAAAUUUAUUCGACAACAGUACAGUUUUAUUUGAUGCCUGCUGCUAAGUUUAAUUAAGUUAUUUGCUGGGUUUUCCAUUUGUCCCUCUGACUUUAGUGUAAACUUAUUACUCAUCCAAGAUGUGGGCCAAUGCUUCUUUUCAAACUUGUGCUAACUAAUAACAGAGACCAGAGCUGGAACUUAGUCAAGGCAAAGCUACAAGCCAAACAGUGGUGGAGAAGGGUGGAACAUGUCGUGACUUGAGGUAAUGAUGAGCAUGUGGGUGAAGUGAGGGGCAGUAAGACCAUAUGGGGAACGCUGAGGCCAAGUGGGUGUGUGUCAAUGGAGGGCAUGCAUGCAUAGGGUUGGGCACUGGGCACUCCCCGUAUAACCACUAACAGAUUAAAAACUCUGGUACUUUUGCUGAUUCCUUAAAUAAGGGAAUAUAUGGAAUUUUGUAUAAGUCUCAGUUGUGAUGAAUUGUUCCUCAGUUGUGAUGAAUUGUUUCUGCAGUUAACCAAAUUGGGAUUUGGAACAUUUAAAAGCCUGAUAUACAAUGUACAAAAUUCAGUAGCACUUCUGUACUUCUUUUUUUGUUUUUUUGAGUCAGGGUCUCACUCUGUCACCAGGCUGGAGUGUAGUGGUGCGAUC
rnacentral:lncRNA from 1 species